ensembl:lncRNA
GCCGCAUGAGCUGUUGGGACUUAGAGUCCUGCCUGCUGUUGCGCCCGAUUGCCCCGCCCCCGCCACGUGUUUUCGGAUAUUACUGGACGCGCAUGUUUUUCAGAACUAAGUUUAUUCUCUUCCAAGAGUUAUUUCCUGAAUUUGGAUGAGUUGCAAAUCGCCUAGCUGAGAAAGAGCUCUCUUACUUUAACUCGAAAAAUACCUGGUUACCUAUUUAUUUCAAAUGUGCUGAAUAAAAUCCCUUUCCUUCAUUGGCAAAGAGUUACUUCUUAUUCCUUACGGAGGGACUUGCCGCCGUGGUCUGUUUCAGUUCACCUGUUAGGUGUCAGUGCGUUGGUGGUCCAUCGCCCAGUAAUUCAUACCCAGUGAGCUGGUUUUGUGAGAGAGAAGACGUGUUGCCUAAGAAGAGCCAUCAGUAUAACCUAGUGUCCUGGAUUUCACCUUCAAGUUCUCUGUAUACCCAACCCACCGCCUGCUAGGGCACCCCAAAAAUCUCUUCAGAAGAUCAUCAAAUCACGUGCAGGUCAUGUGUGUGUGUGUGUGUGUGUGUGUGUGUGUGUGUGUGUUCUAAUAAUGAAUCACAUUGUUUUCCUGUAGCUUUUUACUCACUUACAGCUUUUUAC